AACGAACGCUGGCGGCAGGCUUAACACAUGCAAGUCGAGCGAGACCUUCGGGUCUAGCGGCGGACGGGCGAGUAACGCGUGGGAACGUGCCCUUCUCUACGGAAUAGCCCCGGGAAACUGGGAGUAAUACCGUAUACGCCCUUUGGGGGAAAGAUUUAUCGGAGAAGGAUCGGCCCGCGUUGGAUUAGGUAGUUGGUGGGGUAAUGGCCCACCAAGCCGACGAUCCAUAGCUGGUUUGAGAGGAUGAUCAGCCACACUGGGACUGAGACACGGCUCAGACUCCUACGGGAGGCAGCAGUGGGGAAUCUUAGACAAUGGGGGCAACCCUGAUCUAGCCAUGCCGCGUGAGUGAUGAAGGCCUUAGGGUUGUAAAGCUCUUUCAGCUGGGAAGAUAAUGACGGUACCAGCAGAAGAAGCCCCGGCUAACUCCGUG
rnacentral:rRNA from 1 species